CUGUGUGUGCGGGGGUGUCCUGGGCCGUCCCGGGUUGUGACCCCCUCGGCGCCAGUGGCCUGAUCCCCCUGCAGGCCCCGUGCUGCCGCUGGAGCGGCCUGGGGGCGCCGCCUUGAGCACCCCAGUGCUCCCCACUCUGUGACUAGCCCCUUCCCCCGGCCGCUAGCGCCCAGCGGGGAGCUGCCCCGGGGCGGCCAUAGGUUUUGAAGACAGUGCUCAUCUUCCCUCUGUAGGGCUCUUCCUCUAAGAGGCUCUGUUGGACCACUCUGCUUCUCUAACAGUACUGCCUCUCAGAACUGCCAACUGUCCAGGCACCUUGUCUUUGGCCCCAAGGCCUCCUGCAAAGAAAUUGGAGAGAGACUGAACAUCCAUGGGGUCUUCCAGCCUCCUGCUGCUCCAUCACAGUUAGAAGAUAAGGUUGUGUGUGCAUAAUGGUCAGUUUGUAAAUGAUCCAGUGUUUAAUCUUGAAAAACACACAUCAUCCUUAUCAG